UACGUAGGGCGCAAGCGUUGUCCGGAAUUAUUGGGCGUAAAGAGCUCGUAGGCGGUUUGUCGCGUCGGGAGUGAAAACUCAGGGCUUAACCCUGAGCCUGCUUCCGAUACGGGCAGACUAGAGGUAUGCAGGGGAGAAUGGAAUUCCUGGUGUAGCGGUGAAAUGCGCAGAUAUCAGGAGGAACACCGGUGGCGAAGGCGGUUCUCUGGGCCGAUACUGACGCUGAGGCUCGAAAGCAUGGGGGAGCAAACAGG
rnacentral:rRNA from 1 species